AUGAAUUCAAAGUUGACCUCCCAGAUCUCAGAUAGGGAAAUAGAAGAGGCCCUUUUUCAGAUGGGCCCGACAAAGUCGCCGGGACCGGAUGGUUUUCCGACUUUAUUCUACCAACGGCAUUGGUUGUUGGUUAGUGAAGAUGUGUGUGGUGCUGUUCGUGGCUUUCUCUUGGGUGAGGCCACUCCAAAAUCUUUUAAUUCUACGGUGAUAGUGAUGAUUCCGAAGGUUAACUCACCGGAGUUGCUUUCGCAGUUUCGACCGAUCAGUCUAUGUAAUGUGUUGUACAAGAUUGCUACUAAAGUGCUUGCUAAUUGGCUCAAGACCAUUCUUCCUUUCUUGAUCUUGGAGGAGCGGAGUGCGUUUGUUCCGAGGACACUAGUUACGGAUAAUGUUUUGGUGGCCUACGAAGGACUCAGACAGGGGGACCCUCUUUCCCCAUACUUGUUUCUUUUCUGUGUGGAGGGUUUCUCGACGCUGCUUAAGCGAGCUCAAGAGGAGGCAUCCAUCUGUGGAGUGUAUUUUGGUGGCACUAGCCCCCAAGUGACUCAUCUCUUAUUCGUAGAUGCCAUCAUAGUGUUCUUGGAGGGGACCCAAUCGAGCAUCGAGGUGUUGAAGAAUAUUCUGGAGAGAUAUGAGGCUGCCUCUAGACAGAAAAUGAACUUACAGAAAUCAUCCAUUUUCUUUGGGAAAGGUUGUCAAGAGGAAACUAAGAUGAUGCUCAAGCAGAUUAGUGGGAUCUCAUCGGAGGCGCUGAGUGAGAAAUAUUUGGGAUUACCCACACGGGUGGGGAGGUCUAAGGAGGGGGCUUUUAAACAUGUCGUGGAGAGCUCUAAAGGGAAGGUGGGUGGUUGGAAGGGAAGGUACAUUGAAUCUCAUGGAAUAAGAUGUGCGAGUCUAAGAAGGAAGGAGGGCUUCGGUUUCGGGACCCGGAGGCUUUCAACCAAGCCUUGUUGGCAAAGCAAGCUUGGUGUUUGCAUCAGGUCUACAGUUAACAUUCAUCAUAAUAAUUUGAUUCCGAGGUCUGGGUGCAUGCGGCCACUGGGCCAGCUGUUUGUCCCGAGGAUUACUAGAGUGGUUGAUCUGCUGUUGUCGGAUGGCUCUGCUUGGGACGAAGCUAAGGUGGACUCUAUGUUCUUAGAGGAUGAUGCACAUGAUAUAAAGCAAAUUGAUGUGGGCGGGCCUGGGACGGAGGACUACCUUGUCUGGAACUUCACAAGAAAUGGAAUGUUUACUGUCCGUUCGGCGUAUCAUCUGUGUAUGGAGAGGAAAAAGCUACGCUCUGGUCGACUAGAAGCCUCCAAUUCUGUUGUUAAGCACAAAGGGUAUAUGGUGUUGUGGGAGUCAGAUGCCCCGGCUAAGAAGAUACAUGUGUGGCAGGUGGUUCGGAAUGGCCUUGUUGUGGGCCAUGAGCUGCUUCGACGAAGGAUCAAGGCUGGCGUGUUCUGUACGAUGUGCGGCGGGGAAGAGACUUUGUUCCACCAUUUCUGGGGCUGUCAUCAUUCUGCUCAGUUUUGGAGAGAUGGUAAGAGAAUAGCGUCCCCUCAUGAGGUGCUGGACCGGGUUUCUGCUUCCAUGUCGCAUUGGAGAGAGGCUCAUGUUGCGCCGAUGCGGCCAACGACGACGAGGACGGUUCCGAGAUGGGAAGUGCCUGAGGAAGAGUGGGUCAAGGCUAAUGCGGAUGGAGCUUUGGCGAAACAGCGGGGUAAAGGUGGUGGUGGGGCAGUCCUGCGUGACCACAAUGGUGGUUUCGUGGCAGCGGCCUGCUAUUUCUUCCCUAAAUGUGAGGAUCCAGAACGGGCUGAGGUUUUGGCUUGUCCGAAGCUAAUCCAGACGGAGAGGAAGCGGAACAUAGAAAAGAUUCAUGUGGAGCUCGACAGCCAGGCUAUGGUGAAGAACUUGUCGUCCGUUGGCCCAUGGGUUGAGGAAAUUAAGACCUUGCUGCGGGAAUUCAUGGACUUCAAAGUGGUAUGGGCUCAACGCUCGGCAAAUUCGGUCGCUCCAAUUCGUCAGCUGAAAAACAAUUGGCGGCCAACUGGAGUUAUACGUGACAAGCAGCUAGCAUGGUUCAGCUGUUCGAACUGCAGCAACAAACAACAUUUGAAUGCAAAAGCACACAACAUUGCACCCACUCAGAUACAGUGCAGAGGAACACUUUCAAAAAGAGUACCGAGUUACUACCCCCACAUCCCCCGCUUCUAUUUGUUAGAUCAAAAGUUAUUGAAAUCCAUCAAUUCCAUACCCACCAAGCUCUACAAGUUACAUUCUUGA
rnacentral:rRNA from 1 species